AAGGCCUAUUAAAGCGGAAACACUUCCCAGAAGAUCAGAAAUCUCUCUUCAAACGGAGCUCAUUCCCCAGCUUGUUGCCUCAUCGAGCUGGGCAGCUUAAAAUAAAUAAUCUAUUAAAAGUCAACCAAUUACAAAACUCACCUUUCAACUCUCAGUUUUGGGAAAUGGACUGGAAGGGUUCCUUCAACAGUAACUUGACCAUGCUCUGCCUGAUGACAUCGUCUUGGAAUGUUGGUCAUCGUGUCUGUUACUGUCCUAAGGAGGAGGAAGUCUGGGUGGCAAACUAGAGAAAACGCCUCACCAUCUGGCCUGACAAAACUUCCAUGCCUGAACUUGGAGGUAUCGACUUCAUACUCUAAAGAUUCACGGACCUUCCCGGGGCCUCAGUGAAACAAAAUUGUGAAGAAAAACCUUGACGUGAGUCCUCAACAAAAACAAUCAGCAGGAUUUUCACUGAAUUUUGAAACAAAUCAAUAUGGGUUCCUUCCCCAUACGCCCACCAGUAAAUAGUGCACAAUCAGAACUAAACCUAUGCCUUUUCUUAAAAGGACAAAGGAGAACAUCUGAAUAUUUUCCAAACUCAUAUUCCCGUUUGUCCAAGUCUCUUAGUUCUCUCUGUUUCACAUUAAAUAUGAGAUAGUCUCAUUGGUCAGUAGCAAAAGCCUCAACAUCUCUACAACUAAAGGAUGUGGCCAGGGCAGGGAAGGUGGCCAGUGAGUCGAUGCUCCUCUCUAAGGGUGUCCCACCCAACAGGACAGCCCACCAAUGCUACCGCUUUGUCCUCUUGGUCAUUGGAAGGUUGCCCUUGAGUUGGAUGAGCACCUCUGCUCCCACACUCUGAGCAGUCACAUAUGGCAAAAGGAGCUCCUGCUCAUGGCUCUCUGGGCAAACCCAAGAAGCAGAAGUAGCUUGGAGUGUAACAGGGCAAGGGUCAAAUGGUUUGGAAAGAGUUUUAACCCUGAAGUGACCUUUGUUUGCUUCUGUCACUCCUCCACUCUCUUCCAGCCAGAAACAGGUAACCGUAGAAGUAAAGCCAUUUCUUCCAGAAAGCUGAUUCCUAACUUCAGCAGCUCUGUGAAGGGGACUCUAAGAACCAGAAAGCUUGGUUUUCAGUCCUCAUUCUGCUUUUAAGUGGUCUUGGAAACUUGAGCAGCUCAGUUAUCUCCCUGGUGUCAAUUAGGGUAACUAUACAGUGCCUAUGGCAGAACCCCCGGAAGCUGCUGUCUCCAAGCAGACAUCCCUCCCCUGCCUGCUAGCCUGGGGGGAGUCUGUGAAGUGAGCUGGGGUGUGUGGGGUGUUGCUCCCUAGCAGAAGAAGACCAGCCGUCAUGCAGCCCAGGCAUCUUUGGUAGGAACGGGCAGAGAUUGAUGGCCGUACAGCUCUAGCUUUUGCAUUUGUGGGAGAAAGUAUCUUGGGAAAAACAAUCAGCACAGCAGCCUGAAAUGAAAGGAGCAAACAGCACGCAGUCGGAGCCCAGGUUCCCUUCCACCCCUGCACGGAUUUCAUACUUCCCAGCCCUCGCCUGACACGCUGCCUGCAGGACUUGUUUCAAAAUACCCACCGAGAGAGUUCCACAGGAUUCUGUCCUGUACUCAAACUGUUCACUCUCCCUUUUGAAGCUGAGAGGAGCCAGACAGAAACUGUGUUAAAUUAGACAAGAUGGAGAAUGGGAGAGGUCCCCUAGGCCUUCUCUCAGGCCCAUGAGAUACCUACUGUGAAGCAUGGAACAGAACAAGCUCUGUUAGAUAUAUGAAAACUCCAGACAAUCGGAAGAGGAUAAACACUGGGAGCAAGAUUCCUGUGUCACCGUGCGGAGGUAGAAGUGAUUUGGGUAUGGAGUCAAUGAGACAACCCAGGAAAGUGAUGAUGAGACUGAAUGGAAAGGCAGAUCAGAGCUUGCUGUGAUUUGUAAAAAAAAGCAGUA